rnacentral:ncRNA from 1 species
AAAAAGGCUGCGAAAGUGUCAGUAGAAUCUUAUUUCCCAUCAGAGAGAAGGAAUCACCGGCUGUAAGUUCCUUCAGGUUCAGAUAAGUGUUCGAAUUUCCCACCGGAGCUGCAUGGCCGAACCGUGAUACAUUCAGUAGGCUGUGACGGAUCAUACACGUUACGUAUAAGAUAAGAGCCUGCAUGGCAGGAAACAGGGUGGUACCGCGAGCUUGAUGCCUCGUCCCUUCG